rnacentral:rRNA from 1 species
AUUGAACGCUGGCGGCAGGCCUAACACAUGCAAGUCGAGCGAGCGGCGGGCGGGAGAGUAAUGUGUGGGUAUCUCCCUGCUUGAGGGGAAUAACUCCUGGAAACGGUAGCUAAUCCCGCAUACCAGCAGAUGGACCCCUAUGGGAUUAGCUUGUAGGUGAGGUAACGGCUCACCUAGGCGACGAUCCCUAGCUGGUCUGAGAGGAUGAUCAGCCAAACUGGGACUGAGACACGGCCCAGACGCCUACGGGAGGCAGCAGUGGGGAAUAUUGCACAAUGGGCGAAAGCCUGAUGCAGCAAUGCCGCGUGUAUGAAGAAGGCCUUCGGGUUGUAAAGUACUUUCAGUCGGGAGGCGUUACCGACAGAAGAAGCACCGGCUAACUCCGUGCCAGCAGCCGCGGUAAUUC